AACGAACGCUGGCGGCAGGCCUAACACAUGCAAGUCGAGCGCGCCCUUCGGGGUUAGCGGCGGACGGGUGAGUAACGCGUGGGAACGUGCCCUUUUCUACGGAAUAGCCUCGGGAAACUGAGAGUAAUACCGUAUAAGCCCUUUGGGGGUAAGAUUUAUCGGAAAAGGAUCGGCCCGCGUUGGAUUAGGUAGUUGGUGGCGUAAUGGCCUACCAAGCCGACGAUCCAUAGCUGGUAUGAGAGGAUGAUCAGCCACACUGGGACUGAGACACGGCCCAGACUCCUACGGGAGGCAGCAGUGGGGAAUCUUAGACAAUGGGGGCAACCCUGAUCUAGCCAGGCCGCGUGAGUGAUGAAGGCCUUAGGGUUGUAAAGCUCUUUCAGCUGGGAAGAUAAUGACGGUACCAGCAGAAGAAGCCCCGGCUAACUCCGUG
rnacentral:rRNA from 1 species